CAACGCGCUCGAGAAUUCCGCCGGUGCUUUAAUUGAUCGGUGGAGCAGCGGCAGGACGGGACGCUGAGGAGGCGCUGUGGGGGGCUGCUCUACCUUACCGUACUUUACCCUGUGGACCGAAGUGGACCUGACCUGACUGCACCGGGCCGGAGCGAAGUGGGGACGGACGGUGCCAUACUGGCGACGCCGGCUGGAUCUAACUUUACCUCAGACGGCGCCGGCGAGCAGCAGCAGCACCGCGAAGGCGCGAACACCAGAGCAGAAGCGCCGCUGUGUGUUUCCACGACGUCUCGGAGGUUUCUGCCACAAUGACCACCCCACAGAAGAACGGUUCAGGGGACCGUUGGAAAAUCAACAAACACUCCACAGAGAGGUGACUGAAAAACUAUGCUGCCCGAAUUUGGGUGUCAGAGAGCGGCGAAUUGCUCCAGUCGGCUGGGAAAUGGCAGAAACAGGAGCUGUGAAGGUUACCAUCUCAGCUGCGAUCGCUGGGCCUUGAGGACUGGGCCCCGAAACGAAGACCUGCCUCAAAUAAAUGUGUGUGUUUUCCUGAGGCGGAGUGUCCGACAAGCGGCACCCACUAAGGCUGCUGUUGCAUUCGUGGCACAUGCUGCCCUGGGAGUUUGGCAAACACCGGUGGCACCUAAAGGGAGGGUAAAUGUCAGGUGUCUCUCAAAGCGUUUUUCGAAAAAGGGGCAGGAAUCUUAAUGUGCAGCUGCUGUCGGGGGACAGCCAAAUGGGGGAUGAGUCCCAGCCUUGCAGCUUGUGAACAAAUGUGGGAAAAUAGCCCCUCUCUCUCUCUCUCUCUCUCUCUCUCUCUCUCUCUCUCUCUCUCUCUCUCUCUCUCUCUCUCUCUCUCUCUCUCUCUCUCCCCUUCAUCAUGUGGUGGAUGAGUGUGGUAUUCUCAGCAGAGACCCAUCAUCAUGGUGAUUAGUGAUGGUGACAGUCAGAGGGGUCCUUACCAAUCAUAUUGUCAGCAUCCUGGGCAUCGAGAAGACAACUGGGAAGCAUCAUGUCAUAUUGCCAGCCGCUCCUCACUGCAGGGGUUCCACACCUGGAGCUUAUGGAAAAUGUGCAUGUGAUGCAUUUCACAAAGCAAGUGAUGGUCCGUGCUCAUGCUCAGAGCUUGAGGAGUGUUGGCACUGAGAAAGGGCACAUCACAGCUCACGUGGCAUCAAAGGGGCGCUCGGCAGACCGCUCAGAUCCACCCUGCUGACGCUGUAGGAACUCCUGCUCCGGGAGAUGCCGCACUGAAUUGGGAGGAGCAUUUUUUUCAAAGCAGUUGUGCUCUUGUAGCAGCAAAGUUUCCACAUAUUCACUUAUUGUCUGAAACUACUAUCAAAGCUCUCAGAAUAUUGUAAUAUCUGUGGCUAGAAAUAUUAUUUGCAAUGGAAAAGGGACAUUUAUUUUCAAAGGUGUAUGAGUACAGUUCUAAUUGGAGCCAGCAGGUGGUAUAGUGGUUGGAGUCAUUGCCUUGUCAAAAGGUCUAGGCUUCAAAUUCUGCUCUGCUGUAGGACCCUUCAUCAGGGAACUUAGCCCAAAUUGAUAUGGAAUGCCGUGCUGGACAAAUUAUGCCAUUAGAAGUAUCCUGGGACACCUCUCUACCUGACACUCUAAGCUCCCCUUUUUUAACCCAGUGUUGUAUGCAGCUUUGGAGAAAAUCAUCAUCUGCUGAAUUUCUUGAAUCAUCUGCUGAGUUUCUUGAAUUUCUUAGAUGCUGUUUUGGAUACUGGUGACCAGCAACUUUUACCUUCUGACCUUAUAAGUCAUUUAUCCACAUCCCCACUGUAUCAAUACAAGCAAAGUCUUUUACUGCUUAAGUAAAUGAAUGACCCUUACGUAUUGUCAUGUGCUGUUAAAAUGUUUUGGGUACAUCUGGCAAAGCAACUGAUGGUAUUAGAUGUCCUUAACAGGGAAAUCACUUGAGUGCCAGAUAAUUUCUAUUUAAAAUGUUAACCUUUUAGAUCAUGUUCUGUAGGCCUCUCUCUGAAUCUUACAUUGACUAGAACCAUCCUGGUCCCCAGAGUCACUGUAGACACUGAGACUUCAUGACUACUUGUGUGUUUCAUAUUCUCACUGCCUGUCGGACCUUGUGGAUAAAAAAGGGGGUGCUUGGGAAGAUCAGCGUCCCCCCUCAAUGAGAGGUUUUGUAUCUAAAGCUACAGGCUUUUCCUGAACUUAGGAAAUUAACGGAAAAAUAACUCACGGGUCCUUCUGCAAAAUUUAUUUGUUCAUUGUCUGCAGCUUCCGCUGAGUAUGUCACCAUUAAAGAGCGGGACUCAGCCUUCUUGUGCAAGGUGCUUAUUUCAGAUGUCCAGGCAUCUACCUGCAUAAUGCAUUUUAAAAUUUUCCAUUAAAAUUCAAAACCACGCAAAUCACACAUGUGAACUGACAAAGUGAUAUGAUGUAACUUGCAGUAAUUUCUGUCAGACCAUGUCCAGCAGUUGCUUCCAGAGGAAUCCUGUGGGUGCAGCCAAAGCUGUUCAAGGAUGCGUUGUGCCCAUGGGGGCUGGACCCAACAAUUAAAGUUAUACCUCAGGAUGUAGCACUUUGUUGAGGAUGUCCCAAAAGGGUCCCAUGCAAGAGCUCAGCAGGUUCUCUGCAUAGCCAUUGCCAAAUAAGGCGGUGUGUGUGUGUGUGUGUGUGUGUGUGUGUGUGUUCCCUACCACGGCAAUCUUUCCAUGGUGUCCCUUACAUUGAUUUGCACCGGGGCCAGCAGUAGAACAAAUAAGCAAAGCCGUGGCAUGCAUAUUUCAUCUGGACAUAUUUUUAUGACGGCACAUGGUAAGAUUUUUGGUGGGUUUUUUUUUUUUUUUUUUUUUUUUUUCCCCCCCCCCCUCCCCUUAAAUCACACAAGGAUGCUAUUAAAAACAGGCAGUAAUUCAUAUACUUCAGCUUAAUUUAAAGUCUCUUUCUUACUUUGGAAUGUGCCAUAUAUAGGCCUUCACAUUCAUGAAGCGACUGGUGCGCAGUCACCUCAAUAAUGGGAUUCCUAUACAGGUUUGCAUAGCUGCAGGGUGGAUGUCAAAGAGAAACACAAUGAAAUAAAUUUGUACAUGAUGUCCA
ensembl:lncRNA